rnacentral:rRNA from 1 species
AGAAUCAACGCUGGCGGCGUGCCUAACACAUGCAAGUCGAACGAGAAAGGGUAGCAAUACCUGAGUAAAGUGGCGCACGGGUGAGUAACACGUGACUAACCUACCUUUUAGUGGGGGGAUAACCUAGGGAAACCUGGGCUAAUACCGCAUAAUACCUACGGGUCAAAGCAGCAAUGCGCUGAAUGAGGGGGUCGCGGUCGAUUAGUUAGUUGGCAGGGUAAUGGCCUACCAAGACUGUGAUCGAUAUCCGGCCUGAGAGGGCGCACGGACACACUGGAACUGAAACACGGUCCAGACUCCUACGGGAGGCAGCAGUGGGAAUUUUGCGCAAUGGGGGAAACCCUGACGCAGCAACGCCGCGUGGAGGAUGAAGUCCCUUGGGACGUAAACUCCUUUCGAUCGGGACGAUAAUGACGGUACCGGAAGAAGAAGCCCCGGCUAACUUCGCGCCAGCAGCCGC